GGGGCGAUGAGGCCAGCCUGGGAGUGGUGGUGGAGAGCCCCCCCUGAGCAGGACAGCAGCACAGAGGGCAGGAAGCCAAGCCAAGAGGCUGGGAGGGAUGAUCCCUGCUGAUGGCGUCGAGCACCCAGGCUGACAGCUGGAUGAGAAUGGAGACCCCUGCCUGCUUCUCCUGCUGCACUGUGCCCGGUGUCCAGAGCCGGCCCACCAGCCACAGGGCCUCAGUGAUGUGCACUGGGCCAGUGAACACUGCAGACCACACAGGAGCAUACUUCCAGGAGUGCUAAGCGCCGUCAGUUCCUUCACUGUCCAUGGAGCCCAGCUCUGUGCCCGGCCCUGACUUACACUGUAGGCAUGACAGCCGUGAAGGAGACAAACUCUGCCGCCCCCUGGAGCCGACGUCACAGAGGGGCAAACAGUGAGCAGAGCACAGCAGCCCACUGUGCACGUGCAGCCAGAGGCGUCUUCUCCAAUGGAGGCCGAGCACGUCUCCUCCUGCUCAUGAUCCCCUGCUCCUUAGAACCUGACCCAGGGCCCUUGUUGUGGAACUGAGCUUGGACUAACGAGGGAGCUGAGAGGCAGCUGCUGGCCAGCCAGCCAGGGCCCAAGCUGUCAGAAGAGAAGGAGAAAGCCUCAUUAGCAGAACAUGUCACUAUCGGAGCUGACUGCUUUCCAGGCCUGAGCUGGGGG
rnacentral:lncRNA from 1 species